rnacentral:rRNA from 1 species
AGAGUUUGAUCCUGGCUCAGGAUGAACGCUGGCGGCGUGCUUAACACAUGCAAGUCGAACGAUGAAGCCAGCUUGCUGGUGGAUUAGUGGCGAACGGGUGAGUAACACGUGAGUAACCUGCCCUUGACUCUGGGAUAAGCCUGGGAAACCGGGUCUAAUACUGGAUACGACCUUCCCACGCAUGUGGUGUUGGUGGAAAGCUUUUGUGGUUUUGGAUGGACUCGCGGCCUAUCAGCUUGUUGGUGGGGUAAUGGCCUACCAAGGCGACGACGGGUAGCCGGCCUGAGAGGGUGACCGGCCACACUGGGACUGAGACACGGCCCAGACUCCUACGGGAGGCAGCAGUGGGGAAUAUUGCACAAUGGGCGCAAGCCUGAUGCAGCGACGCCGCGUGAGGGAUGAAGGCCUUCGGGUUGUAAACCUCUUUCAGUAGGGAAGAAGCCGGCCUUUCGGGGUUGGUGACGGUACCUGCAGAAGAAGCGCCGGCUAACUACGUGCCAGCAGCCGCGGUAAUACGUAGGGCGCAAGCGUUAUCCGGAAUUAUUGGGCGUAAAGAGCUCGUAGGCGGUUUGUCGCGUCUGCCGUGAAAGUCCGGGGCUUAACCCCGGAUCUGCGGUGGGUACGGGCAGACUAGAGUGCAGUAGGGGAGACUGGAAUUCCUGGUGUAGCGGUGAAAUGCGCAGAUAUCAGGAGGAACACCGAUGGCGAAGGCAGGUCUCUGGGCUGUAACUGACGCUGAGGAGCGAAAGCAUGGGGAGCGAACAGGAUUAGAUACCCUAGUAGUCC